CCCAGUCCGCUGCUGCCCCUCCCUUUCACCUUCCAUCCAGCACUAAGGGAGUCUGGCCACGGCCUAAUAUAGGAGGGCUUGUGGAAGGAGACACCCACCCCCUCUUUCUGCACCUCUCCCCUCUUCCAUGCCACCCCCAGGCCAGGAGCCACCACAGCCCUGUCUGUGACUCUCAGCUCCCGAGGCUGGGCUCUUCCCCAGGGAAGCUGCAUGACCAUGGCCACAUACAGGAGGAGACCCUAAAACUCCAUUGGCCUCAUGUCCAGAACUGAAUCAGCCAGUGCCAGAGCCUGCUGCAGCCCCGACCCGGCAGAGCAAGCGGCUCUGCUACCUCAGCCACGUAGCUGAUGGCAUCCUUCAGGUUCAGCUCGUGGAAGACAUUCAGGAUCCGGUCUCGAGACUUCUGGGCCGACCGUCUCAUGAGGACCCUGCUGAGGAACUUCCUGUCGAAGUGGGACCACCUGUAGGGACAGACCUUGGGUGUGAGCCUCAGGUGACAGGCGCCCUAGAGCCCGCCGGACGCGUGGCCCGGCCCCUUCUCUCCUGAAUUUUGUUUGCUAUAGUGACCCUGUAGGCGCGUUUAAAAUGAGGGAAGCAGCCCCUGCCACACGCCCAGGCCGUCCGCCGUUCUCCCGCCUGUCCUGUUGGAUGGAGGCCGUUAGACGCAUAUGAAACUGCAUGCCGCCUCCUCCAGAGGGUGGCUCAGGACACGCCUAACGGAAUUAGAGUAUUCGCUGGUUAUCCAGAUCAGAAGGGACGGUGGCCUGGCCGGACUUAGAGGAAACUCUGGGGCACAAGGAGGUGAUGCCUGUCACUUGGACAUGGGUGCAGCCGCCAGAGCCGCCCUCCAGGGCACAGG
ensembl:lncRNA SLC9A3-AS1 SLC9A3 antisense RNA 1